rnacentral:rRNA from 1 species
AGUGAACGCUGGCGGUAGGCCUAACACAUGCAAGUCGAACGGCAGCACAGUAAGAGCUUGCUCUUACGGGUGGCGAGUGGCGGACGGGUGAGGAAUACAUCGGAAUCUACUUUUUCGUGGGGGAUAACGUAGGGAAACUUACGCUAAUACCGCAUACGACCUACGGGUGAAAGCAGGGGAUCUUCGCACCUUGCGCGAUUGAAUGAGCCGAUGUCGGAUUAGCUAGUUGGCGGGGCAAAGGCCCACCAAGGCGACGAUCCGUAGCUGGUCUGAGAGGAUGAUCAGCCACACUGGAACUGAGACACGGUCCAGACUCCUACGGGAGGCAGCAGUGGGGAAUAUUGGACAAUGGGCGCAAGCCUGAUCCAGCCAUACCGCGUGGGUGAAGAAGGCCUUCGGGUUGUAAAGCCCUUUUGUUGGGAAAGAAAAGCAGCAGGUUAAUACCCCGCUGUUCUGACGGUACCCAAAGAAUAAGCACCGGCUAACUUCGUG